AGGACGAACGCUGGCGGCGUGCUUAACACAUGCAAGUCGAGCGGGAAAGGCCCUUCGGGGUACUCGAGCGGCGAACGGGUGAGUAACACGUGAGUAAUCUGCCCCUAGCUCUGGGAUAGCUCCGGGAAACCGGGAUUAAUACCAGAUACAACCACUUUAGACAUCUCUUGUGGUGGAAGAAUUUCGGCUAGGGAUGAACUCGCGGCCUAUCAGCUUGUUGGUGAGGUAACGGCUCACCAAGGCGACGACGGGUA
rnacentral:rRNA from 1 species